UGCAUUCGAAACUGGCAGGCUUGAGUCUUGUAGAGGGGGGUAGAAUUCCAGGUGUAGCGGUGAAAUGCGUAGAGAUCUGGAGGAAUACCGGUGGCGAAGGCGGCCCCCUGGACAAAGACUGACGCUCAGGUGCGAAAGCGUGGGGAGCAAACAGGAUUAGAUACCCUGGUAGUCCACGCCGUAAACGAUGUCUACUUGGAGGUUGUGCCCUUGAGGCGUGGCUUCCGGAGCUAACGCGUUAAGUAGACCGCCUGGGGAGUACGGCCGCAAGGUUAAAACUCAAAUGAAUUGACGGGGGCCCGCACAAGCGGUGGAGCAUGUGGUUUAAUUCGAUGCAACGCGAAGAACC
rnacentral:rRNA from 1 species